rnacentral:rRNA from 1 species
UACGGAGGAUGCGAGCGUUAUCCGGAUUUAUUGGGUUUAAAGGGUGCGUAGGCGGGCUUUUAAGUCAGCGGUAAAAAUUCGGGGCUCAACCCCGGCCGGCCGUUGAAACUGGGGGCCUUGAGUGGGCGAGAAGAAGGCGGAAUGCGUGGUGUAGCGGUGAAAUGCAUAGAUAUCACGCAGAACCCCGAUUGCGAAGGCAGCCUUCCGGCGCCCUACUGACGCUGAGGCACGAAAGUGCGGGGAUCGAACAGG